GACGUUACCUACAGAAGAAGCACCGGCUAACUCCGUGCCAGCAGCCGCGGUAAUACGGAGGGUGCGAGCGUUAAUCGGAAUUACUGGGCGUAAAGACGCAUGCAGGCGGCCUGUUAAGUCAGAUGUGAAAGCCCGGGGCUUAACCUCGGAAUUGCAUUUGAAACUGGCAGGCUAGAGUCUUGUAGAGGGGGGUAGGAAUUUCAGGUGUAGCGGUGAAAUGCGUAGAGAUCUGAAGGAAUACCAGUGGCGAAGGCGGCCCCCUGGACAAAGACUGACGCUCAGAUGCGAAAGCGUGGGGAGCAAACAGGAUUAGAUACCCUGGUAG
rnacentral:rRNA from 1 species